UUUUUUUUUUUAGAUAAAUUUAUUGUUCGUUAUCUCUCCACACACUUCGUUACCACUAUCUUCUAUAACCUCUGCAUUUUCACUUAUUCAUUUCUAACUUCUUUGAAUUUUCAAUCUAAUGUAAUCCACAAUCUCUCGAAAACGUAUUUCUGCAAAAUCUUAUCUAAAAUUAUGGGUAAAGAAAGAAAGAGCAAAAAAUAUUUGAAAAUGGGGUUGGGGGUGAAAUUUCCGAGGGUUCCACCACCCUCCAUCCAGUUUUCCGGACCCCAAAAAGUGUUUUAUAGCAUAUUAGGAGGUCACCGGAAUUCAUUCAACAAAAAGAAAAAAAAUUUCCAAUGAUUUCCGGAUAUGGGGGAGGUUUCGGCCCCCCCACCCUUUCCGAACCAAAAUAAGGGAUUUGCAGCAUAUUAGGAGGUUAGGGUACUUGAUUCCACACAUAAGAUCCGAGUUUUUUUUUUCCUGAGUGAAAAUCGUGCGGGUGAAAGGAUCAAAAUUUACCAUGUGCUAUUCGGGAAGAAUUCUCUGCGUGACUUCCUUUUUAGUGUUGCUUGUCAGCUAAAUUGACAUCAUGGUUGUAGAGUGAGUAUAUUUUAAGUUCAUACAUUAAAUACAUCAACUUUGUAUAAUUUCCCAGCAUCAGUUUAUCUUUUUGUGGCAUCCACACUUAAAUAUUGGCAACCUUUUAAAAAUACUUGCAUGCGAAAUCUAUAACGUAAAACAUUUUAAUCAAAUGAAUCAGAAUUACUGAAUAAUGUUUAUGUGGCACUGAAAUACAUCCAGAAGCACGAGCAGAAUAAGAAGUGCGUUAUUUUUUUGAGGAUUAUUAAAAAGACAUUUAAAGUUGAUCAAUAACAUAAACCAGUUUUGUAAAUCUUAUAUUCAGUGUACUUGAGUGUCAUGGACUUUAGUGGUUCUGUGUAUAGACAUGUAGCUGUUAUACUCCGAGAGAAGUUUCUCUUCAAGGGAUGGAACAAUCAUUUAACGUGUCUUCUCUCUCUGAUCAUUCGAACUGCUAGAAGUAGUAGGCACCUUCAUUAUUCGAAGGGAUGGGCAUAUGGAAUAUUGGUUGUCCUGGACACGUUCUUUGAAUCAGAAAUAUUUGUUCUGCACAGGCUGUCCCGAUUGUUAAAGGCGACACCUUAAUUUUCAAACAGAAUUAUUGUUUUACAUGUCCUACUUGACUUAAUAUUCUGAACAUUAAAUACCUCAAAUGUUUAUGAUUUAUCGCUGCUCAGUGUUACUGGUGAUGGAGCAACUGUUCAGCUUUAUUUCGGUGUUGUGUGUUGAAACUGGUGAAAGUAAAAAAUACGCACACCCAGUGUUUAGGGUUUUUGUUAGGCCGAAAACGGGUGUUGUACGUAUUCUUUGCCACCAGUGGUUUAUAAGAUGGGUAGAAUUUUCCAUUCAACAAUUAGAUUUUAGAAGCUAGAUGCAAGAAGAUUGAUCACUUUGUACACAUCAGUCUUGAAAUUCUUGGCGCCCUGCUUCUGUUGAUUUAGUUGAGUUCUGUCGAAUGUUACUUUAGUACUCUUAUGGAGUGCUUGGUGUUUGAAACUUCUAUGGAAAUUAUGUUAUAACAUCCUUAGACUAUAUAGAGAUUUUUUUUUGUAUAGGGGUUCUUUAUAAUAUCAAUAACUGAUAUUGAAAAUUAGUCACCAAUAUUAAGAUGUAUUUAUCGGUACCCAUUACCCUAACAAAAUCAAUCGUUUGUAAAUUGGUUAAAAGCAUUAUAUUUUGAAUUUGUCAUAGUGUGAUCAAUGUGGAUAUAUGUUGAUAGAUUGUAUUGAACUCUGCGAAUAUCAGUACCCGACCAUUUAUAAUUAAAAAAAUAACACUAAAAGCAAGAUCUUAAUAGAUUAGGACAUUUUUUCACUCUGGUUUGGUCUGAUUUCAACGAAAUUAUUUCUUUUUUAUCGGUAUGUGUAAUAAAUUCGUAUAUUGUUAAUAUCCUGUUUAAGUUUUCACAUGGAUUCUGACAAAAAUAAUGCAGAAGAUGACUUAUUGGUAUUGGUCAUUCAAAUUGCACAUGUUAGUAGAAUAACUCUUCUAUGUAAAGAUACUACUGAUAGCCUCUAUCACAGGCAAUGCAUCUGCACUAUCGUUGGACCUAACACUUGAAUCAUCUUUGAAAAAAUGAGCUGCUCACUGUUGUACCUUUUGCGGUCAUUUUGUAAACCUGGGGUCUGCCUAUCAAUCGAUCAAAUAGGUGGAAGUUUGAGGAGGGUGUCGGAUCUUAAUGAAGGGCCAUUGAUCAGCCUAAUUCACUGAUUGUCUGGUUUGUUGCUUGUCUGCUUGCACAUUGUCAUGGUGAAUUCAGAUUCUUACUGGAUAUCUUCCUUAUUAUGACUUUUAAGCUUUUUGAGUGUCCCAAUGUACUACUUGUUAUUCCUGGUGCAAGGAAAAUGAGGCCUUUGUCAUCCCAUUCUGUGAUGGUUGCUGGUUCUUGAAUGUUUCAGGUUUUGGAGAAGGACUGUCACUAUACCAUGAACUAAGCCUUCAGUUCUGGAUCAUGAAAUAUGGCUACGUUUCAUCCCUUGUCACUAAAUUAGGAAAAAUGUUUUCAUAAUCUUCAAAUGCUUGCAUCAGAGCAAACCACCCUUCUUUCCUUCAAAUCAAGAGUUAAUGUGAUUCCUCAGACUCCCAUCUUUUAUAAUGCAUUGUGACCACAAUCUAGUUGUGCAGCAAACUCAGAGAUUGCCACUCAUAUGUCUAAUUCAAUCCACCCACUUAUUAGUGAUUUGUGUAAAAGUUACACCAUUUCGAGCGUGGCCGUCGCCAGUACCGCCUGACUGGCCCUCGUGCCGGUGGCACGUAAAAGCACCUACUACACUCUCGGAGUGGUUGGCAUUAGGAAGGGCAUCCAGCUGUAGAAACUCUGCCAAAUCAGAUUGGAGCAUGGUGUUGCCUCCUGGUCCACCAGUCCUCAGUCAAAUCGUCCAACCCAUGCUAGCAUGGAAAGCGGACGUUAAACGACGACGAUGAUGAUGAUGUCACAUUUUCAUCCAUCUGUACACAUUGUUCUUGUCAAUGGUGUUUUUGUAAAUAAUCUGUAACCUUCAGUAGAUGUCACAGUCAACAAACACCCCUCUUUUGUCAAGAACUAAA